AGUCUUUGUAUUGCCCAUUUGCUUUUGGAAACUUGUGAAUGUGAUGUCAGAAUAUGCAUAAAUAAAUAUCUUACAGACUUUUCCUGGCCUUGUAUUUGAUAUAUUUAGUGCAGGAACUGCAUACUAACAACU
ensembl:snoRNA